GCCGGGCGCAGUGGCACGCACCUGUAGUCCCAGCUACUUGGGAGGCUGAGGCUGCAGGAUCGCUUGAGCUCAGGAGUUCUGGGCUGCAGUGCGCUAUGCCGAUCAGGUGCCUGCACUAAGUUCGGCAUCAAUAUGGUGACCUCCCGGGAGCGGAGGACCACCAGGUUGCCUAAGGAGGGGUGAACCGGCCCAGGUCGGAAAUGGAGCAGGUCAAAACUCCCGUGCUGAUCAGUAGUGGGAUCGCGCCUGUGAAUAGCCACUGUACUCCAGCCUGGGCAACAUAGCAACACCACGUCUCU
rnacentral:SRP_RNA from 1 species